rnacentral:rRNA from 1 species
GUGACUACAAGUUCAACGGCCGCGGUAUUUUGACCGUGCAAAGGUAGCGCAAUCACUUGUCUUUUAAAUAGAGACCUGUAUGAAUGGCUAAACGAGGGCUUAGCUGUCUCCCCUUUCCAGUCAGUGAAAUUGAUUUACCCGUGCAGAAGCGGGUAUAAUAAUACAAGACGAGAAGACCCUUUGGAGCUUAAGGUACAAAACUCAACCAUGUAAAGCAACUCGAUGAAAAGUAAAAACUUUAUGGAAAAUGAAAUUUUACCUUCGGUUGGGGCGACCACGGAGGAAAAUGAAGCCUCCAAGUGGACCAGGACAAAUAUCCUAAAACCAAGAGAGACAUCUCUAAGCCACAGAACAUCUGACCAAACAUGAUCCGGCUAAUAAAGCCGAUCAACGGACCAAGUUACCCUAGGGAUAACAGCGCAAUCCUCUCCCAGAGUCCAUAUCGACGAGAGGGUUUACGACCUCGAUGU